UCUCCGUUGGUGAACCAGCGGAGGGAUCAUUACAGGAUUCGCAAGAACUCCCGUAACCACUGUGAACCUUACCUUCUGUUGCCUCGGCGGGUCAGGCUGAUGCUUGGGAUGGCUACUUUGUAGCUACCCUGCAGAGGCCGCCGCCGGUGGGAUUUUAAACUAUUGUCAUGUAUUGUCAUCUGAGAGCCUUAUGAAAAUAAGUCAAAACCUUUAACAACGGAUCUCUUGGUUCUGGCAUCGAUGAAGAACGCAGC
rnacentral:misc_RNA from 1 species